AACGAACGCUGGCGGCGCGUUUUAAGCAUGCAAGUCGAGCGGUAAGGUCCUUCGGGACCCCAGAGCGGCGGACGGGUGAGUGACACGUGGAUAAUCUGCCUCUCAGUCCGGGAUAGCACAUGGAAACAUGUGAUAAUACCGGAUACGAUGUGCCUGUCACAUGGCGGGUGCAGGAAAGGUCCUGCGGGAUCGCUGGGAGAUGAGUCCGCGGCCCAUUAGCUUGUUGGCGGGGUAAAGGCCCACCAAGGCGACGAUGGGUAGCCGGCCUGAGAGGGUGGACGGCCACAUUGGGACUGAGACACGGGCCCAGACUCCUACGGGAGGCAGCAGCUAAGAUCUUCACAAUGGGCAAAGUCUGAUGGAGCGACGCCGCGUGAACGAUGAAGGCCGUAAGGUUGUAAAGUUCUUUUUGGAAGGAAGAAUAAGGCGGGCAGGGAAUGGCCUGCCGAUGACGUGAAAUUCCAGAAUAAGCCCCGGGCUAAACUACGUGCCAGCAGCC
rnacentral:rRNA from 1 species